GCCUAAGUCCCCCAAAACCCAUAUGCCACCUGAGUGUAAACCACCACCACACCACUGGAGACGCUCCGACCACCACCACGCCACCGGAGACGCUCCGACCACCACCUUCAACCCCUUCACGCCACCCGAGAAGACCACCAUCUGCAACCUCUUCACGCCAACGGAGACAACCACCAUCUGCAAACCCUACACGCCACCGGAGACGACCACCACCAGCAACCCCUUCACGCACUCGUUCAUUCUUCACUGCCUCUGUACCCGCCACCGCAGCUCAUCGAGGAAGGUGAGAAGGAAUUGGACGACAAAAUUACUGAGUUGCACGAGUUAGUUUCACCUUUUGGAAAGUUCAGGAGCAAGUGGUAACGAGAACAGAGGAAAAUUUCCGAUGACCACAACACCACAAUUGAUUUCUUGCCAUUUUCCAGCUCAAAACGCAGGAACCUCUACUAUCAUCUUAGAAAGUAUUUGGUGUAAAUGAGCCCUUUCUACCACUUCAAGGACCUUUACUUCUUAACUUAACUUGAGUUCAAGUUAUCCGACUAAGUUUGGAAAGUAUUUGACUAAGUAUCUGAUGAAGAAGCGGAUGAUGACACGGAUAUGACGUACAAUUAUAUGUUAGGUAGUUUUAUGAUGUGUUUGUGAAUUGGUUACUUAAAACGAACCCGGAUUGUGACGUUUAUGCUUAUGUUUUUUUUUAAAGGCAACCAUUUAUGCUUA